GAUGAACGCUGGCGGCGUGCCUAAUACAUGCAAGUCGAGCGAACAGACGAGGAGCUUGCUCCUCUGACGUUAGCGGCGGACGGGUGAGUAACACGUGGAUAACCUACCUAUAAGACUGGGAUAACUUCGGGAAACCGGAGCUAAUACCGGAUAAUGUAUUGAACCGCAUGGUUCAAUAGUGAAAGACGGUUUUGCUGUCACUUAUAGAUGGAUCCGCGCCGCAUUAGCUAGUUGGUAAGGUAACGGCUUACCAAGGCAACGAUGCGUAGCCGACCUGAGAGGGUGAUCGGCCACACUGGAACUGAGACACGGUCCAGACUCCUACGGGAGGCAGCAGUAGGGAAUCUUCCGCAAUGGGCGAAAGCCUGACGGAGCAACGCCGCGUGAGUGAUGAAGGUCUUCGGAUCGUAAAACUCUGUUAUUAGGGAAGAACAAAUGUGUAAGUAGCUAUGCACGUCUUGACGGUACCUAAUCAGAAAGCCACGGCUAACUACGUG
rnacentral:rRNA from 1 species